rnacentral:rRNA from 1 species
GACAGCAGUCGCCGCGGGAAUACGAAGGGGGCUAGCGUUGUUCGGAAUUACUGGGCGUAAAGCGCACGUAGGCGGAUAUUUAAGUCAGGGGUGAAAUCCCAGAGCUCAACUCUGGAACUGCCUUUGAUACUGGGUAUCUUGAGUAUGGAAGAGGUGAGUGGAAUUCCGAGUGUAGAGGUGAAAUUCGUAGAUAUUCGGAGGAACACCAGUGGCGAAGGCGGCUCACUGGUCCAUUACUGACGCUGAGGUGCGAAAGCGUGGGGAGCAAACAGGAUUAGAGACCCGUGUAGUCCCUGUCUCUUAUAC